rnacentral:rRNA from 1 species
AGUGAACGCUGGCGGUAGGCCUAACACAUGCAAGUCGAACGGCAGCACAGUAAGAGCUUGCUCUUACGGGUGGCGAGUGGCGGACGGGUGAGGAAUACAUCGGAAUCUACUUUUUCGUGGGGGAUAACGUAGGGAAACUUACGCUAAUACCGCAUACGACCUACGGGUGAAAGCAGGGGAUCUUCGGACCUUGCGCGAUUGAAUGAGCCGAUGUCGGAUUAGCUAGUUGGCGGGGUAAAGGCCCACCAAGGCGACGAUCCGUAGCUGGUCUGAGAGGAUGGUCAGCCACACUGGAACUGAGACACGGUCCAGAGUCCUACGGGAGGCAGCAGUGGGGAAUAUUGGACAAUGGGCGCAAGCCUGAUCCAGCCAUACCGCGUGGGUGAAGAAGGCCUUCGGGUUGUAAAGCCCUUUUGUUGGGAAAGAAAAGCAGCAGGUUAAUACCCCGCUGUUCUGACGGUACCCAAAGAAUAAGCACCGGCUAACUUCGUG